AUUGAACGCUGGCGGCAGGCCUAACACAUGCAAGUCGAGCGGGGUUUUCGGACCUAGCGGCGGACGGGUGAGUAAUGCGUAGGAAGCUACCCGAUAGAGGGGGAUACCAGUUGGAAACGACUGUUAAUACCGCAUAAAUGUCUACGGACCAAAGUGUGGGACCUUCGGGCCACAUGCUAUCGGAUGCGCCUACGUGGGAUUAGCUAGUUGGUGAGGUAAUGGCUCACCAAGGCGACGAUCUCUAGCUGGUUUGAGAGGAUGAUCAGCCACACUGGAACUGAGACACGGUCCAGACUCCUACGGGAGGCAGCAGUGGGGAAUAUUGGACAAUGGGCGCAAGCCUGAUCCAGCCAUGCCGCGUGUGUGAAGAAGGCUCGGUGU
rnacentral:rRNA from 1 species